AUUGAACGCUGGCGGCAUGCCUAACACAUGCAAGUCGAGCGGAUGAAGGGAGCUUGCUCCUGGAUUCAGCGGCGGACGGGUGAGUAAUGCCUAGGAAUCUGCCUGCUAGGGGUGGAUAACGUCCUGAAACGGGCGCUAAUACCGCAUACGUCCUGAUGGAGAAAGUGGGGGAGCUUCGGACCUCACGCUAUCAGAUGAGCCUAGGUCGGAUUAGCUAGUUGGUGGGGUAAAGGCCUACCAAGGCGACGAUCCGUAACUGGUCUGAGAGGAUGAUCAGUCACACUGGAGCGGAGACAGGGUCCAGACUCCUGCGGGAGGCAGCAGUGGGGAAUAUUGGACAAUGGGCGAGAGCCUGAUACAGCCAUGCCGCGUGUGUGAAGAAGGUCUUCGGAUUGUAAAGCACUUUAAGUUGGGAGGAAGGGCAGUAAGUUAAUACCUUGCUGUUUUGACGGUACCAACAGAAUAAGCACCGGCUAACUUCGUG
rnacentral:rRNA from 1 species